rnacentral:lncRNA from 1 species
GCGAGGGGCAGGUGCGGGUCCUGGGACGGCAGCAGGGAGUAGAUGACCUGGGCGUUGGUGCCUGAGUCUCUGUCUGUGGCGCUGACACUGCCGAUGGGCAGGGCGGGGCUGUUGUUCUCACGGACAAACAGGGUGUAGGAGGUUUGGGUGAAGGCGGGGGCGUUGUCAUUGACGUCGGAGACCAGGACCGUUAUGUUGUGCUCGGUUUUCAGCCUGGGUGUCCCCAUGUCGGUGACAGUGAUGGUGAUGUUGUACUCGGCUUGGCUCUCUCUGUCCAGUGUUCUCUGUGUCACUAGAGUGUAAAAGUUUUUUAAUGUGGGCUUCAAAAGAAAGGGGAGAUCAUUCUGGAUGGAGCAAAUCAUCCUACCGUUGUCCCCGGAGUCUGGAUCAGAAACACUGAAAACAGCAACUACAGUUUCCGGGGCAUUUUCUGGGAUAGGGCUGGAGAGCGUAGACAUGGUGAGUUCAGGGGCGUUGUCAUUCACAUCCACCACUUCCAUAGCCACAGUGCAUUUUCCUGAAAGGCCCCCACCAUCUGUGGCUACAAUUUCCACGUUAUAAUAUGGAGUUGCCUCGAAAUCCAAUGCCCUUUUCAGGCGAAUUUCUCCUGUUUUUUCGUCUAUUACAAAUGGUUGAGUAACUUCAUCGCCUUGGAAUAGAGCAUAGGCUACACUCCCAUACGCUCCUGCAUCUAAAUCUCGAGCGGAGACAACGACAACUAAGGAGUUAAUGGGGCUGUUCUCGGGCACCUGUACCUCAUAGAGUGAUUGUAAAAAUUCAGGGGCGUUGUCAUUAUUAUCCAAGACGACAAUGCGAAUUGUGGUGGUCCCGGACCUGGGCGGAGCCCCACCGUCCAGUGCAGUGAGUGUUAAGCUGAGCUCAGGCCGCUCCUCCCGGUCCAGCGCUUUGUCCAGCACCAGCUCUGGGUAUUUUCUGCCAUCUCCGCGAUUAUGCGUAGCAACAUGAAAGUGGGAAUUUGGGCUGAUUGUGUAGUUCUGAACAGCGUUGCUACCUAUGUCAAAGUCCUGGGCUACUUUUAAAGGAAACACAGUCCCUGGCUGGGUGCUCUCUGGGAUUUUUAGGAGCAUUUCCUUCUCUGGGAACUCUGGGGAAUGGUCAUUUAUAUCUGUGAGCUGCAGAUCAGUUUGAAAAAACUGCACUGGAUUUUCUAGUAAGAGCUGGAAAUGCAAUAUACAGGGUUCUGUCGCCCCGCAUAUCACCUCCCGGUCUAGUUUUUCAUAUAGAAGCAAAUUGCCGGUCUUUAUAUCAAGCUGCAAGAGCUCUUUGUUUCCUUUGUAAUGCAUUCGCGCGCCCCGAGUGGCCAGUUCCCCCACCCCAAGACCCAGGUCUUUUGCCAGGUUGGCCACAGAAUAGCCACUUUCUGUUUCUUCUGGUAUGGAAUACCUAACUGCCUCAGAGCCAGCCUCCCACAAAAGCAACAAUAUAGCAAGAAACAUAACUUGCCUUUUUUGCGGCGUUUUUGCUAGCGCAGUCUCCAUUGUUCAGACCCGGUCCAGAAGGCGCAGUUUCUUUAACUCCGUACACAAUCCACCCAGAUGAUUUGCAUAAAUAACCGCGAAUCCGAUCUUUCUUGACUGAUUUCCACAAGAACGAAGCCCACCCUGAAGAUCUAGCCACUAGAUCUUACCUAAAAUGCGUCCUUCUUUUAGAGUUUGGAUUCCCCAGCUU